rnacentral:rRNA from 1 species
GACGAACGCUGGCGGCGUGCUUAACACAUGCAAGUCGAACGGAAAGGCCCUGCUUUUGCGGGGUUCUCGAGUGGCGAACGGGUGAGUAACACGUGAGUAACCUGCCCUUGACUUUGGGAUAACUUCAGGAAACUGGGGCUAAUACCGGAUAGGAGCUCCUGCUGCAUGGUGGGGGCUGGAAAGUUUCGGCGGUUGGGGCUGGACUCGCGGCUUAUCAGCUUGUUGGUGGGGUAGUGGCUUACCAAGGCUUUGACGGGUAGCCGGCCUUGGAGGUUGACCGGCCACAUUGGGACUCAGAUACGGCCCAGACUCCAACAGUAGGCAGCAGUGGGGAAUAAUGCACAAUGGGCGGAAGCCUGAUGCAGCAACGCCGCGUGCGGGAUGACGGCCUUCGGGUUGUAAACCGCUUUCGCCUGUGACGAAGCGUGAGUGACGGUAAUGGGUAAAGAAGCACCGGCUAACUACGUG